GCUCUCGUAGUUCAAUGGAUCAGAACGGACCCGUCCUAAGGGUUUGAUAGAGGUUCGAUUCCUCUCGAGAGCA
rnacentral:tRNA from 1 species